rnacentral:sRNA from 1 species
GUGGUUGUUCUCCGGGACCAGGCAACACAUACAGAGAUGGUCACUGAGUCGCAGUUUGUAGUUUUGAAAAAGUAGGCGCUUGUCAUGCUUCAUUUGCAAAGUCAUGGGUAGGUAGGCUGAUGUGUUUGUAUGAUAAAACAUUUCACAUCAGUUACAAUGAACGAACCAUAUGUACGUGUUUCACCCAGUGUCAGUCUCAAAAAUACAUGGCUGAGUAAAGAAACAAGUUGCAGGGCCAGGCACGUGGCUCACGCCUGUAAUCCCAACAUUUUGGAAGGCUGAGGUGGGUGCAUCACUUGAGGUCAGGAGUUCGAGACCAGCCUGGCCAACGUGGUGAAACCCCAUCUUUACUAAAAAUACAACAAAAAAUUAGCUGGGCUUGGUGGCAGGUGCCUGUAAUUCUAGCUUCUUAGGAGGCUGAGGCAGGAGAAUUGCUUGAACCCAGGAGGCGAGGUUGCAGUGAGAUGAGAUCGCGCCAUUGCGCUCCAGCCUGGACAACAGAGUGAGAUUCUGUCUCAAAAAAAAAAAGGAAACAAGUUGCAGUCAGAUGUGUCCCACAUGUUACUAUUUAGGUUAAAACUUACAGCUGUGGCAUGUGUCUGUGGACAUGGGGUAAAAAUUUAAAGGUGUGUGGGGGCUGUACCCAUUAUUUGCAAUAUUUUCUUUCUUAUAAAAAGCAUUCUGGAGCAAACAUGGCAAAAUGCAAAGAUUUACUUAUUGGUAGUAUUGAGUGACACUUUAUUUUUUGGUUUGAUCUUUUCACUUUUUUUUGAAAGAGCGUCUCACCCUCUCGCCCAGGCUGGAAUGCAGUGGCGCAACCUUGGCUCACUGCAACCCCCACCUCCUAGGCUGAAGUAAUCCUUCUAUCUUAGCCUCCCAAGUAGUUGGGACCACAGGCCCACACAACCACACCCAGCUAGUUUUUCUAUUUUUUGUAGAGACGGGGUUUCACCAUGUUGGCCAGGCUAGUCUCAAACUCCUGGGCUCAAGUGAUCCGCCCACCUCAGCCUCUCAAAGUGCUGGGAUGACAGGCGUGAGCCACCACACCCGGCCUUCACUAUUAAAAGUUCAAUAAACUUGUGUAAAUGAACAUCCCAUUUCAGGUCACGACGGCUGAGGCCUCAGAAGACAGUCCGAGGCCAAGUGCUCCCGACAUGGAGGACUUCGGCCUCGUGAAGCUGCCUCACCCAGCAGCCCCUGUCACUGUGAAGAGGAAGCGAGUUCUUUGGGAGAGCCAGGAGGAGUCCCAGGACCUCACGCCGACUGUGCCCUGGCAGGAAAUCUUGGGGCAGCCUCCUGCCCUGGGAACCACCCAGGAGGAGUGGCUUGUCUGGCUCCGGUUCCACAAGAAGAAGUGGCAGCUGCAGGCCCGGCAGCGCCUCGCCCGCAGGAAGAGGCAGCGUCUGGAGUCGGCAGAGGGUGUGCUGAGGCCCGGGGCCAUCCGGGAUGGUCCUGCCACGGGGCUGGGGAGCUUCUUGC